rnacentral:misc_RNA from 1 species
GAUGAAGAACGUAGCGAAAUGCGAUAAGUAGUGUGAAUUGCAGAAUUCAGUGAAUCAUCGAAUCUUUGAACGCACAUUGCGCCUUCUAGUAUUCUGGGAGGCAUGCCUGUUUGAGCGUCAUUAAACCUCUCUCAAGUAUGAUUACUUGGAUGUGAAGGAAGAGUACCUUAAACUUAAGGAGUGUUCUCCUUAGAAAUUGAUUAGCAGAUGGUAAUGUUAUUAAAUCCCUGAUGUUGUAAGAAAUAACAGUGGUUUUGUAGACUAUUAUCUAGCUUUAAAUUAUAAUUUUUAUUAUGGUUGACCUCAAAUCAGGUAAGGAUACCCGCUGAACUUAAGCAUAUCAAUAAGGGAGGA